GAUGAACGCUGGCGGCGUGCUUAACACAUGCAAGUCGAACGAUGAAGGGGGAGCUUGCUCCUCUGGAUUAGUGGCGAACGGGUGAGUAACACGUGAGCAAUCUGCCCCUGACUCUGGGAUAAGCGCUGGAAACGGCGUCUAAUACCGGAUACGAGCCGAGCAGGCAUCUGCAUCGGUUGGAAAGAACUUCGGUCAGGGAUGAGCUCGCGGCCUAUCAGCUAGUUGGUGAGGUAAUGGCUCACCAAGGCGACGACGGGUAGCCGGCCUGAGAGGGUGACCGGCCACACUGGGACUGAGAAACGGCCCAGACUCCUACGGGAGGCAGCAGUGGGGAAUAUUGCACAAUGGGCGCAAGCCUGAUGCAGCAACGCCGCGUGAGGGACGAAGGCCUUCGGGUUGUAAACCUCUUUUAGCAGGGAAGAAGCGAGAGUGACGGUACCUGCAGAAAAAGCACCGGCUAACUACGUGCCAGCAGCCGCAGUAAAAC
rnacentral:rRNA from 1 species